ensembl:snRNA U6 U6 spliceosomal RNA
GUGCUCGCCUCGGCAGCACGCAUACUAAGAUUGGGAGGACACAGAGAAGUUUAGCAUGGCCUCUGCACAGGGACACACAGAGUCGUGAAGCGGUCCAUACUUUU